AGCGAACGCUGGCGGCAGGCUUAACACAUGCAAGUCGAACGGGCACUUCGGUGCUAGUGGCAGACGGGUGAGUAACGCGUGGGAACGUGCCUUUCGGAUCGGAAUAAUCCAGGGAAACUUGGACUAAUACCGGAUACGCCCUUCGGGGGAAAGAUUUAUCGCCGAAAGAUCGGCCCGCGUCCGAUUAGCUAGUUGGUGAGGUAAAGGCUCACCAAGGCGACGAUCAGUAGCUGGUCUGAGAGGAUGAUCAGACACAUUGGGACUGAGACACGGCCCAAGCUCCUACGGGAGGCAGCGGUGGGGAAUAUUGGACAAUGGGCGCAAGCCUGAUCCAGCCAUGCCGCGUGAGUGAUGAAGACCUUAGGGUUGUAAAGCUCUUUUGUCCGGGAAGAUAAUGACUGUACCGGAAGAAUAAGCCCCGGCUAACUUCGUGCCAGCCGCCGCCGUAAUAC
rnacentral:rRNA from 1 species